GCGGCGUCUGGGCGGGCCAGUUGGCGUUGAGACUCUGAGUGGUGUGCGUGUCCAAUAAAGCCUUAAUUCGGGCGGAACCGACACAUGGCGCGGUCGGUAUUAGCUCGAACCCGCCCAUAGUGAGUACAAAGUGCGAUUAACGAAAGUGAAAGGAAGCAGGAAUGCGUAGCCGUGGCGGCCGCGCCGCAACCACGACCGCGUUCGAGUCUCUUCGGAGAGGCGCGCCCGCAGCGACGCCAGCUGUAUCGCUAGUUGGUCGAGUCGCAGCUGUGACAUCAGGACGUAGUCGUCCCAUCUCUCCUUCCAGAGGUAGAAGGCGUCACUGCGGUCGGUGGAGAUGUCCAGUCGGUCAGGCCGGAUCGGCUGCAGGCUCGUCAUACCACAGCGAUUACGAAGGACUGUUCUAGAAGCCCUCCACGCCAGCCACCUGGGGAAGGAGAAAACGAAGGCCCGCGCAAGACAGAUCGUCUACUGGCCCGGGAUCUACCGGGAUGUGGAAAAUGUCACCCGCUGCUGUACCAGCUGCCAGAGAGAUCAACUCGCUCAGCAGCAAGAGACCAUGAUGAGGAGACCGCCAGCGGAAAGGCCGUUCGAACUACACAUCGACUUUGCCGAUCACGCCGGCAGGAAGUACCUCGUGGCAGUGGACAGAUACUCCGGGUGGCUGUUUGUCGCCGACCUCGGUGUAAGCGCCCCCGCUUACACCGGUCCGAAGGACGAUAGCAGGCGUCAUGACGAGCGCACUCGCUACGCGACUUAGCGUAAAUGGACGGCACGGGAAAAGGGCUUUCGGCGGUACCCGGCUUUUUGAUGUCGUGUUCAGAGCCGUGCGGCGGAACGGGCUUACCCAGGACACCAACAACGGCCAGCUGGAGGUGGCGCCACGAAAGUGGUUUACGGGUGCCAGGAACCGCGACGGAGGCCGCCAGGAGAGGACACCAGCUGGAGUUUAAGCGGAGGAGCAGAUGAGAGAAGAAGUCUAGAGAUGAACAGAAGAGAGGAGAGAGUUUAAACAGCAUUUUUGUGUUUAUCGAUAAUAUAAAUAUUGAUCACUGA